GUGUCAGCAGCCGCGGUAAGACGUAAGAGGCGAGCGUUAUCCGGAUUUACUGGGCGUAAAGGGCAAGUAGGCGGUAGUGCAAGUCAGUUGUGACAGAUCCCGGCUUAACUGGGAGAGGACGAUUGAGACUGUAUCACUAGAGGACAGGAGAGGGAAGCGGAAUUCCUUGUGUAGCGGUGGAAUGCUCAGAUACAAGGAGGAACACCAGUGGCGAAGGCGGCUUUCUGGCCUGGUCCUGACGCUGAAGAGCGAAAGCUAGGGGAGCAAACGGGCUUAGAUACCCCGGUAGUCCUAGCUGUAAACGUUGGGUACUAGGUAUUGGGGGUGAGAACACCCUCAGUGCCGAAGCGAACGCGUUAAGUACCCCGCCUGGGGACUACGGCCGCAAGGUUAAAACUCAAAUGAAUUGACGGGG
rnacentral:rRNA from 1 species